rnacentral:snoRNA from 1 species
CACCUCUUCCGAUAACAACACGUGACGAGUGAGCACUGGAUGCAGUUAUCCCUGGCUGAC